AAUCCAUGUAUUUGACAUUUCUGAAUUAAUUUUCUUUAAAUUGUUCCCAAGCUUCAUAUAGUGUUUCAUCCUCCAAUUGUCGAAAGGACGUGAUGUCAUUUCUAAAAUU
rnacentral:snoRNA from 1 species